UACGUAGGUGGCCAAGCGUUGUCCGGAAUUAUUGGCGUAAAGCGCGCGCAGGCGUCUUCUUAAGUCUGAUGUGAAAUCCUCGGGGCUCAACGCCGAGCGUCCAUUGGAAACUGGGGAGCUUGAGUGCAGAAGAGGAAGAGUGAAUUUCCACGUGUAGCGGUGAAAUGCGUAGAGAUGUGGAGGAACACCAGUGGCGAAGGCGACUCUCUGGUCUGUAACUGACGUUGAGGCGCGAAAGCGUGGGGAGCAAACAGGAUUAGAUACCUUGGUAGUCCACGCGGUAAACGAUGAGUGUUAGGUGUUAGGGGUUUCGAUGCCCGUAGUGCGGAAGUUAACACAUUAAGCAUUCCGCUUGGGGAGUACGGCCGCAAGGCUGAAACUCAAAGGAAUUGACGGGGACCCGCACAAGCAGUGGAGCAUGUGGUUUAAUUGGAAGCAACGCGAAGAACCUUACCAGGUCUUGACAUCUUUUGACCACCCAAGAGAUUGGGCUUCCCCUUGGGGGGCAAAGUGACAGGUGGUGCAUGGUGGUCGUCAGCUCGUGUCGUGAGAUGUUGGGUUAAGUCCCGCAACGAGCGCAACCCUUGAUUUUAGUUGCCAGCAUUAAGUUGGGCAUUUUAAGGUGACUGCCGGUGACAAACCGGAGGAAGGUGGGGAUGAGGUCAAAUCAUCAUGCCCCUUAUGCCUUGGGUUACACACGUGUUCCAAUGGAUGGUACAAAGGGCAGGGAAACCGGGAGGUGAAGCCAUUCCCAUAAAGCCAUUUUCAGUUGGGAUUGCAGGUUGCAAUUGGCUUGCAGGAAGCCGGAAUUGUUAGUAAUCGCGGAUCAGCAUGCCGCGGUGAAUACGUUCCCGGCUUUUGUACACACCGCCCGUCACACCACGAGAGUUUGUAACACCGGAAGUCGGUGAGGCAACCUUAGGAGCCAGCCGCCG
rnacentral:rRNA from 1 species